UAUUCGUAUUCGAUCAACAAAGAUGGCUCAUUUAUUGAAUUGCUUUCGUCAGCCGCCAACUCAACUUCCCGUUCCUUCGUCCUCUUCCUCCACUUCCACUCUCUCGCUCGCACGACGCACGUCGCACGUCGCAUCGCACGCCGACAUUCCUCUCGCUCGCUCGCUCUUCCCCUCGACGCACCAGUUCCUCUGCUGGAAGCCGGAAGCAGCUUCGGAUCCUUAGCGGACGAAGAGAAUGCACCGCUCGAGCGGCAGAUCGGGACGCCGGAGAAGCCGACACACAAUUAGAUUGCUGUUUCUUUGCUGGAACUCCUUAUUCACUAGUUUUCAUGUCUGAUGGUUUCGAUCCAUAAGCCUGGAUUUUCUUAUUUAAUUUUUCGGGUAGAUUUUAAUUGCAAAAUUUGCUAAUGCCUCAAGAGAUUCAUCUGAUCCUCACAUUAAAUUUCCAUCAGAAGAAAACCGGUCUACCAUUGGAUUCCGGCAAAACUCAUCCAUGAAACCCAACAGUUAUCUUGCAAAGGAGAUAUUAGAUCACGAGGUAUCAAAAGCUAAAGUGAUGGAACACCACUCUCCCAGUUUGGUUGCAAGGCUGAUGGGUCUGGAUAC